UUCCUUUUAUUGGUCAUAAUUAUUCGAUAGUUGGUCACAAUCUCUCAUCGCGUCGGAUUAUGGAAUUGAGGAUACGAGUAUGGUUCCAUCGCUGAAAUGAUAGGGAUAAUGUUGACUUCAUAAAAUACCUCGAACUAGAUUAGUCUAUAUCUUUUCUUAAUGCACCACAUUUAAGGUUUUAAAUUGCCCAUUAAAAAAAUGUAUGAUGUCCAAUCCUUUUUAAUCUAAAAUUAUAAGUUAAAAUAUUUAAGCAAGCUGCCUCUCUUUCACUUCAUAAAAUACCCCCAGGAUUAAGUAAUUUUGCUUUAAGAGACGGACAGAGAAAAGUAAUGUCAAACAUACUGAAGUGCCUAAUUUUCAAGCUAGAAGUUUUGGGGAUAUUUACCGUAGUGGUAAACUGAAGGGUAUCAACAUAGACAAAGCAUUUCAACAGGGGUACAGUGCUCCAGAAGAUAAAAAUAAAGCAAUUGGUGUGCAAUUACAGGGUAAAUUUGGUUGGAUGUGUUACAUAAGAUACUAAUAAAUAGCAUAAAGGAGUCUCAAUAUCAAGCUGAUCUCAGUCAGUUUAACCAACCACACAGAUGCCCAAAUACCUCUUCUUCCUUGCCUGCCUAAUCACGACACACCCCGCACCGUAGGAAGCAAUGAUCCGCGAUCACAGCAUAUUGUAUACAGUAUGUGAGGUAGCCGACUGAAUCCUCGCCGUUUUAGCUAAGGAAGGACUCGCUGGAGUUGGGCUAUUUUUGCAGGUUGACUUAGCCUUCGGCUCACUCAGAUCAAUAGGAAACACAGUAAGGCAUAAAAAAAUUACAAUUGACGAUUCCAGGUCGAAGAAAUGAGCAAUAAAAAAAUUGUUGCCUGUGUAGAAUAAAGUGUGGCCAUGAAGAAACUCCAAGUCAAAGAACUGUCAAAAAUAACAAUCGGCGUUUUAAGGUCCAGAAAUCGACACAUUACACAGCGAUCGUCGCGCGUAGGUGGGUGAGGGGUACCGAGAGGGAAAGGGGAUCUCAGUCAGCGAUCGUCAUUGUCGGUAGGCGUGGAAGACAGGGAAAGUGACAACCAAUUUGGGUUUGUAGAAUUUAAAAAUAAA
rnacentral:lncRNA from 1 species